GUUAGGAAUAUUGGACAAUGGGCGCAAGCCUGAUCCAGCCAUGCCGCGUGAACGAUGAAGGCCUUCGGGUUGUAAAGUUCUUUAGCCGAUGAUUAUAAUGACUGUAGUCGGAAAAUAAGCCCCGGCUAACUUCGUGCCAGCAGCCGCGGUAAUACGAAGGGGGCGAGCGUUAUUCGGAAUCACUGGGCGUAAAGCGUGCGUAGGCGGUCUCGUAAGUUAGGAGUGAAAGCCCAGGGCUCAACCUUGGAAUUGCUCUUAAAACUGCAAGGCUAGAAUCUCGGAGAGGAUAGCGGAAUUUCCAGUGUAGCAGUGAAAUGCGUAGAUAUUGGAAGGAACACCAGUGGCGUAAGCGGCUAUCUGGACGAGUAUUGACGCUGAGGCACGAAAGCGUGGGGAUCAAACAGGAUUAGAAACCCGUGUAGUCC
rnacentral:rRNA from 1 species